UACGUAGGGGCCUAGCGUUGUCCGGAUUUAUUGGGCGUAAAGAGCUCGUAGGCGGUUUGGUGAGUCGGGUGUGAAAUCUCCACGCUCAACGUGGAGGGGCCACCCGAUACUGCCAUGACUAGAGUCCGGUAGGGGAGUGUGGAAUUCCCGGUGUAGCGGUGAAAUGCGCAGAUAUCGGGAGGAACACCAGUAGCGAAGGCGACACUCUGGGCCGGUAUUGACGCUGAGACGCGAAAGCGUGGGGAGCGAACAGG
rnacentral:rRNA from 1 species